AGUAAUUGAAUGCAUUAAGCACAACAUUAAAAUCAACACAUAUAAAAUUAAAGCACUAGAAUCUUAAUUUAACGAAAUAAAGGGUUCCAAUUAAGUUACGUUGCUCGCCCUAAAUUAAAUCUAGCUACGCAUAUUAACGAAAGAAAAACAAGAUAAAUUCAUGGAAGACAUCACCCGGAUUGAUUGAUGAAACGUGAAUAAUUUUCAAAAGUCUGUCUGCCGUUUAUGUGUCUGUUUCCUUUCAAUUUUGUCCAGUCGUCCACUUUAUCUUCCUCCAGAUUUUGUAAUUGGCCGGCUACAAUUCCUUCUCGAGUUUAUCGAUUGCAUAAGUCUAUAUAUUAAUCCCAGCAGCACCUCAAUUUGUAAAUUCAGCAGCUUAAUUCUUGCCUCCAAAUCUGCUUUUGGCUUCCUAUGGGCGUGUAUAUAUAUUUAUAUCUCAACCAAAAUAUGUGUUUAAAUAUCAAUAUCAAUAUUAAUGCAGCAAUCGGCAGCCCUCAGUUUCUGUUUGAAUAUAUAAAUUAAUAGCAGCUGGCAACAUCUUCUCUUUUCUCCAAAGUAGCUUCGAUUUCCGUAAGUAUAUAUGAAAAAUUUCAGCAACCUACAGCCCUUAAUUCUGGACUUUCAAAGGGACCAAACUGCCUCAAUUUCUGUGAAUGUAAGGCAGCCGGCAACGUCUUCUCCUUCCUCCAGUCAGCUGCUCUCUCACGUUCCCUUGAAAUUGUCGGCUGAAAAUUGAAGAAGUAAACCUGCAGCCUAAUGUUUCUCCCCUUCAAUUCUUCUAUUUGGGCGGCCCCCAAUUUGUGUAUGUAUAAUAUGAUGAUGAAGCAACCCUCCAGCCUUUCAAUGUGCGUGAAGUUAUAUAAUAAUGACUGACUGCUUCUCCC
rnacentral:lncRNA from 1 species